rnacentral:rRNA from 1 species
UCCGGUUGAUCCUGCCGGAGGUCACUGCUAUUGGGAUUCGACUAAGCCAUGCGAGUCGAGAGGGUUCGGCCCUCGGCUGACGGCUCAGUAACACGUGGAUAAUCUGCCCUUAGGUGGAGGAUAAUCUCGGGAAACUGAGGAUAAUACUCCAUAGAUCUAGGAUGCUGGAAUGCAUCUAGAUUGAAAGCUCCGGCGCCUAAGGAUGAGUCUGCGGACUAUCAGGUUGUAGUCAGGGUAAAGACCUGACUAGCCUACGACGGAUACGGGUUGUGAGAGCAAUAACCCGGAGACGAUAUCUGAGACACGAUAUCGGGCCCUACGGGGCGCAGCAGGCGCGAAAACUUCACACUGUGCGAAAGCGCGAUGAGGGAAUCCCAAGUGUUUGCUCGUAAGAGUAAACUGUUUCUUUGUUUAAAACGCAGAGAGAGUAAGGGCUGGGUAAGACGGGUGCCAGCCGCCGCGGUAAUACCUGCAGCUCGAGUGGUGAUCAUUAUUAUUGGGCCUAAAACGUCCGUAGCCGGUUUAGUAAAUGCCUGGGUAAAUCGUGUAGCUUAACUAUACGACUUCCGGGUAGACUGCUAAACUUGAGACCGGGAGAGGCUAGAGGUACUCCUGGGGUAGAGGUGAAAUUCUGUAAUCCUA